rnacentral:rRNA from 1 species
UACGUAGGGGGCAAGCGUUAUCCGGAUUUACUGGGUGUAAAGGGAGCGUAGGUGGCAGGGCAAGUCAGAUGUGAAAACCCGGGGCUCAACCCCGGGAGUGCAUUUGAAACUGUCCAGCUGGAGUGCAGGAGAGGUAAGCGGAAUUCCUAGUGUAGCGGUGAAAUGCAUAGAUAUUAGGAGGAACACCAGUGGCGAAGGCGGCUUACUGGACUGUAACUGACACUGAGGCUCGAAAGCGUGGGGAGCAA